rnacentral:lncRNA from 1 species
UCCAUUCUCUGUUAGCCGACAUACAAUCUAUCAUAAGUUGGCUGACAUGCUCACACAAUUUGUUUGCUUGGGACAGAAAUUAAGCAUUGAAACUAUGUUCCACAUGUGUGCUUAGCAUCACAUAAUUCAUAGCAAACUCAGCCGUGUACAAAUCUAGGUUCACCUAUGUAGCAUAUCUGGUUAAAUUUCACAUAUGUGAUUGCAAGUUCCAUCGACAAAUAUGUCCACACAAGUUCCUAAAGAUAAUACUCUACCAUAUCUAGAUCAUACUACUCUACUCUCUACUGUUGCCAAAAGACACAAUAAAACCCAUCCAUAGCCUUUGGUCUUCUUCGCCCUUGGGCCUCGGCGCAUUUGAACAGUACAGCAACAAGAGGCAAAUGAACAUACCAUCAAGGGUCACCUGGUAAGAGUUUUGCACAUUAUGUUAAUUCCCGCAAAGUAAAAAGUGCAAAAUAACAAAGCGGCACAUAUUUGUAGAAGGUAAAAGGUACAAGAACUUGCAGAAACUCGCUGUGCGCCCAAGCGUAAGUGGUCUCAGUAUCACAGACAUACUAUAGCUAUAUCCAGUACAUCAUUUUCCCAUUCAAAAUUCAUAAAGCCAAGCCUAUUUUAUUCAACAUCUUAGUGAAUAGCAAGUCUAUCACUUGGUUGAUUAAACAGAGCAAAGAAUCUAGAACUCUGGUCAGACUUCAUCAGGUGAGAUCAAACCUUAACCUUAUAAUCUACCUGAGACCCUGAUUUAAUAGUUGACAAUAUAUAAGCACAAUCAAAUGUAAAAUGGUUUAGACAAAGAACUAGAGAAAAUAUUAUUAUGCAUGAUAUGAAUCUGUUUAGUAGGUUUUACUAUGUUUGUCUAAAAUAAGUGAAAUUUAAGAGUUGAGCUGAAAAAUACGCAUAUAAUAGCUUACUGUUGUAUUUCAAAGUAAAGUGGCAACAGGCAAGCCUCAUGCAACAUACAAAAAUUAAAAAGGGAUGCCAUUUAUAUACCAUACAUCAAAAUCAUAAAUGUAAAGUGAAAUUUCUUUCGUGCAAUAGAUGUGAAGAUACUACAAGAAUUUAAACCACUAUUCAUAGCUGAGCUAUUGUGAAAGGAGCUUUUGGAUUUACUUUUGUUCCCUCCACUAGGCAUAUAAGAUGUGACAUAUGAUGGAAACAAAUUUUCAGCUACAUAUAUGGUAGAAAAUGUGCGGUAACUGAAAGUGCUAAUAACAUGUGAAAGGAGUAGUAAAAUUACAACCCCAACAUGCCCACAAACAACAGAAAUGUUGCUAUCUCUGGGGUCAAGUCCAAGAAGCUCUUCCUGUAGAUAGAUAAGGACAUUAAUAGGAAUUUGAGAAAAAACCCACAAAGAAACUAGUAAUAUAAUAGGGCACUAUGGCAAACUAUUUUGAAGCACACAACACAAAUCUAUUCGCUCUUACUACAUCAAGUGUUUUCAUCCCUAAUAGGAGCUUCAGAACAUGUUCCAUAAUUUUUUUAAUACUUCAGCAGACUCAAAUGAACAGAGAAAUUCAUGUAGAAUAAUAAUUGUACUAAAAUUACAUAAUGCUAGAACACACCAAAGAUAAUGAUAUGGGCAAAUCCGUUUUUUCACAUUAAGCAUGCGAAAUAAUAAUAUGCGUACAAUAGAGCUCAUGUAUUUGGGAAAAUAAGAAAUGUAUUUGCUGACCAGCAGAUCAUAGAAUUAAAUGUGAACAAGCUUAAAAAGAUCAUUCAAUUGCAGAAAAACUAUUUGCUGGUUAUACCUGAGGGGG